ACUUGGGCCUGAGAACCAGAAGAAGCUGUCAGCCCUGGUUUCACCGGUGUCUGUAGCCGUCAGCCACAGAGAGGAGGAAAGGGGAAAGACAGAAGAGACAGAAGAGAUUUGAUAAGGAACUAUUUCAUCACUGAUGUCAUCCCGCCAUUGAACUGCGGAUCUCUCCCAGGCGAUUUGGAAUCCAGCAGCAGUUCAGCAGCAGGAGUGAGAGAAGCUACUCCAGAGGAAAGUUGUGGACAGAGAUGGACAUAAUCCAGCCUUGAGCUUGGUCAGGGCGUCUGAAGCAGAGGCCAAUAUUUACAACUGUGCCACAAGGAGAUUGGUGAAGAUGGCAUGCACAUGAGAAGGGUGGAGAUCAAAUGGAUAACAGCACAGGGACACUAUUGAGGCAGGGGUCUUGGUCCUGAGCCAACAAUCCCAAUUUUUUUUUUGUUUUGUUUUGUUUUGUUUUUUUUAAGAACAUAAGGAAAUACAUUUAUUUUCUUUCAUGGCAGCCUGCAGGAAAACUAUGAAAGUAACAGAGGAAGGGGGAAACAUAAAAACGACAAAAAUUCCAUCUAGCUAUAUUCUCUUGCCUCUAAGGUCAUUCUGCUCAAUGUCUCACACGCUCAAUGACCAUUUCUCCCAAGGCAAACUGGAUUGAAGCCAAGCUGAACUUGGGUACAUUUCUCAGCCUCAAAUAGGCACCCUUCAUAGAAAGUAUCGGGACCGCCUCUAGGGUCCUCAGUGGAUUUCUCAGGAACAGUCAUUCUAAUAACAAAGAAGGAUUUUUCUUCCUGUGUCCUUACUUAACACAAAAUCCCUUCUAAAAACUACAUAGGAUUUUGUGACUGAUACAAUACAUUCCUCUAAAUUACUUAGGGCAAAUAUGUACACAUGGCCACUCACUCUAGCAGUCCUCAGGCUAAAACACAGACAACCUGCCUUCAGUCGGGGUUACUGUCCAUGUGUCUGCCUAAGUAAAAUCACCACCUUUUGCCAGAACUAUUCUGGUAAGACACUUAAUCGGUCUCCCUGCCUCAAGUUUCCUCCUCUCUUCCAUCCAUCCUCCACCAGCUGCGGAAGCAAUUUUUCUAAAGUUCAGGUCUGCCUAUGUCAUCCUUGAACUCCAUAAACUCCAAUAGCUCCCUAUUACUUACCUCUAAGAGCAAAUAUAAACCUCUCUUUUUGACAUUCAAAGCUCUUCACAACCUGCCCUCCCCCAUUUACUUUUCCAGCCUUUUAACAUAUCCCUCCCCUUCUCACACUUGAAAGUUCAGCCAAACUGGACUUCUUACUGUUUCAAAUUUUGUUGCGAAUAUCCUGAUCUCUCCAGCUUUUAGUGCCUCCCUGAAAACAAUUACUUUGUGUCUCUUUUUGUCACUCCUGUAUAUCAUGUUCCUUUUCCCCAAUAGAAUAUAAACUCUGAGAGCAGGAA